rnacentral:rRNA from 1 species
UACGAAGGGGGCAAGCGUUGUUCGGAAUUACUGGGCGUAAAGGGCGCGCAGGCGGCCAAUCAAGUCAGAUGUGAAAGCCCCGGGCUCAACCUGGGAAUAGCAUUUGGGACUGGUUGGCUAGAGAUCGGGAGAGGAGAGUGGAAUUCCCAGUGUAGAGGUGAAAUUCGUAGAUAUUGGGAAGAACACCGGUGGCGAAGGCGGCUCUCUGGACCGAUACUGACGCUGAGGCGCGAAAAGCGUGGGGAGCAAACAGG